rnacentral:tRNA from 1 species
GCCGGCUUAGCUCAUCAGGUAGAGCGGUUGAUUUGUAAUCAUCAGGUAGGAGGUUCGAGUCCUUCAGCCGGCACCA